UCAUGGCCCAGGGGUUGGGGACCGCUGGUCUAUCUAAACCCUGCCAUAUUUAAAACUUAGCGCAGCCCUGUUUAGUUAUCCUGGUGCAAGCUUUAGCUUGCUCAACAGGGCUGAAAAAUUAGCCUAAUGCAAGAUGGCCAAAAACUGCAGUUUUUUUUGCAGUUUGUUGUUACCUGAAUUCUGUUUUCUUACUCCUCCCAAUUCAAGUGUGUAAUCCUAGCUACGGUGGCCGCUGUAGGACAAAUAACUCCGUUAGUCCGUCAGUCUGCUGUUUACCUCAGUUAAACACUGUGUCCACCUCUCUUUACUCUGGACCAGGCUGUAAAAAAGACGCCGAUAAAAGUCGAUGAGUCGACAAAGCUUCUUCACUUCUUUCUGAUGAUACUGAGAGUAUGAGCAUGAACCCCGUCAUAGUGGAGAGUGGAUAGUGAGCUGCUGCAGAGCGAGGCACCGGCAGCUAAAAAUCAGAUUCAUUGAUACGGGAAACAAAGAGUCCAGAUGGAACGGCGUCCUAUCCAAACGAUCGGGCACACCCUGUCAGCUCCGAGAACCUCCAGCCUUCUGCAACCCUGCAUGGAUAAGCAGUUAAGAAGAUAGAUGGAUGGAGUUCUCUUCUGGUCUCGUUAGGCAGAGAGUGUAGUAUGAACACAGUCUGAAGAUCAAUGAAAGCCGAUUGUAGUAGUCCGGCGUGUUCGUAGUGAGAGGCUGCUAAUGGACUCGUGUGAACCAGUUCAGCCGUUUCGCAUAUGUGCCGACGAACUGUACAGCCUGGGAGUGGGAACGCUGUCACUUUUGCAGUGCGCAACAACAAUGGCGAGAAAAAUCUGAGGCCUUUUCAGUGAUAUGAAUGCAGAAGCACAGAUUUACAGAUGACACAGAGGGAGCUGCUGCAACUAGAAAAGAUGAAACCUGGAGAAAACAGUUCUGAGAGCUUCUAAACCAGCAGUGAUGCAGAGGUUUGUCUGAUUACAGCCACGCUUACUGUGACAAUAGUAACAUGUUAGCAUUAGCAGACAUUCACCGUAUCAAUUUACUUUCAUUUUUAAUAAACCUCAGUUUUUUUAAAAGACUUAUAGGCAUUAAUAACUUCUACCAGCUGUGGUAUUCUCUACUUUGAAGAAAAAUCUAGCUUGACACGAACACUUAUUCCCCGCUCAGGCGCUCAUAUCCAACUAAAGUCUGAUUGACAGCACAAAGGUGCUGUCCCGAGCACACUGGUCUUCGAGGCUGAUGGGAAUAUCAUCCGUUUUGCAGGUAAUCAGGUCAAAGCUGUAGACCGAUUACAAUUUGUUCUUAUGAUUAGACACAUGGAUUGAUGUUCAUA